rnacentral:rRNA from 1 species
UACAGAGGGGGCAAGCGUUGUUCGGAAUUACUGGGCGUAAAGGGCGCGUAGGCGGCCCGCUAAGUCGAACGUGAAAUCCCCGAGCUCAACUCGGGAACUGCGUCCGAUACUGGCGGGCUUGAAUCCGGGAGAGGGAUGCGGAAUUCCAGGUGUAGCGGUGAAAUGCGUAGAUAUCUGGAGGAACACCGGUGGCGGAGGCGGCAUCCUGGACCGGCAUUGACGCUGAGGCGCGAAAGCUAGGGGAGCAAACGGG